CCCACCAAGAGACUGCUCUGUCUUUCACUGACUCUUGCCUGGGAAACGCCCAACUGAAAGCUUCCUGGUUGAGACUGUGCUAGUGGCUGCUGUGUGGUUGUUGGGACCUCCCCAAACCUAGCAGCACACAGGUUCUGAGCUCUGAGGCCUGAAACCCCAGUUUUCACUUGAACUAUGAGAUCAGUGACAAGAAUUACUAUUCUCCUAACUUUGGGUAUUAUGGGUGAUGCUAAAUCCACUCAGCCAGAUGCAAUGGAGAGUGCUGAAGAAGAAGCUGUGCACCUGCCCUGUAACCACUCCACAAUCAGUGGAAGUGAGUACAUAUAUUGGUAUCGACAGCUUCCCCACCAGGGUCCAGAGUAUGUGAUUCAUGGUCUAAAAGACAAUGUGACCAAAGAAAUGGCCUCUCUGAUCAUCACAACAGACAGAAAGUCCAGUACCUUGAUCCUGCCCCAGGUUACCGUGAAAGACUCCGCUGUGUACUACUGCAUCGUGAGUGACACAGUGGGACAGAUGUGUCAGCACCUGUGCAAUAUCCUGCUGGCGGGAAGGGAAGCAGCAGCAGCAUCUCAAGAACUCACUGCCCAAGAAAGAAUGAAAAGAAGCCAAGAAGACGAGGAAGAAGCACUUAUAUUAUUGAAAGGGCAAAGAAGCUUGCAAGAAAUCUAA